CUCCAACAAAUGAGGUUACAGAGAUAGGUCUUCAAAGCCAACAGAUAAACCCAAUUCAAGCCUCUCUGUCUCUCAGCCCUAUUAACCUAUAAGAUAGUAUCACAGAUUUGCCACCCUAACUCUCACAGAUCUACAAUUAUUCUUGACUUAUGAAAAGCCUCGGGGGAGCAAGGGAU